GAUGAAGAACGCAGCGAAAUGCGAUAAGUAGUGUGAAUUGCAGAAUUCCGUGAAUCAUCGAAUCUUUGAACGCACAUUGCGCCUUCUGGUAUUCCGGAAGGCAUGCCUGUUCGAGAGUCAUUAACAACCGUUUCGAUCCCUUUCUUUCAGAAAUUACAAAGAGGAAAAGGGUUUGGUUAUGGUGGAGGACGGAAAGGGAGCGUUUAGCCUGUAAAAAAAGAGGCUGUGUUCCGCCUCCCCCCCAAAAUUGUACAGGCGGUCGUGUGCGCCCACGCAUCGAGGUGUUGUAAAAGCUGCCACGGCACUUUUCACCUGUGCAGUGCGAGAUUGGCCAGCCGGUUUAAAAACCCCUCCAAACAAUCAAAGGUUGACCUCGGAUCAGGUAGGGAUACCCGCUGAACUUAAGCAUAUCAAUAAGCGGAGGA
rnacentral:misc_RNA from 1 species